rnacentral:rRNA from 1 species
GAUGAACGCUGGCGGCGUGCUUAACACAUGCAAGUCGAACGGAAAGGCCCAAGCUUGCUUGGGUACUCGAGUGGCGAACGGGUGAGUAACACGUGGGUGAUCUGCCCUGCACUUCGGGAUAAGCCUGGGAAACUGGGUCUAAUACCGGAUAGGACGAUGGUUUGGAUGCCAUUGUGGAAAGUUUUUUCGGUGUGGGAUGAGCUCGCGGCCUAUCAGCUUGUUGGUGGGGUAAUGGCCUACCAAGGCGUCGACGGGUAGCCGGCCUGAGAGGGUGUACGGCCACAUUGGGACUGAGAUACGGCCCAGACUCCUACGGGAGGCAGCAGUGGGGAAUAUUGCACAAUGGGCGCAAGCCUGAUGCAGCGACGCCGCGUGGGGGAUGACGGCCUUCGGGUUGUAAACUCCCUUCGCUAGGGGCGAAGCGUUUUUGUGACGGUACCUGGAGAAGAAGCACCGGCUAACUACGUG